rnacentral:piRNA from 1 species
UCCCUGUGGUGAGAAGAGGCUGGUUCUGA